CUGGCCUCCCCCUGUGCUUCAGCCUCCCGCCCUGCCUUCCCCUAAAGUUGUGAAUAAAAGUAUUUGGGCAGGUCAUCAUCCCAGAAAAAUCUGGAGUCGGAUUGGUCUAUAUAAAUUAUUUUCUGACAACAUGAUGGACCUGGCCUCUAGGAAGAAGUCGGAGAGUGAGGUGAUCAAUACCUGUUCUUACUGGGCAGGCAGACUGGGGCAUUGAUUCUUAUCUCAUGACCUCGGUAUGGCAGGGGACUGUAAAAGGUCGGAAGAAGG